rnacentral:rRNA from 1 species
AUUGAACGCUGGCGGCAGGCCUAACACAUGCAAGUCGAGCGAGCGGCGGACGGGUGAGUAAUGUAUGGGGACUGCCCGAUAGAGGGGGAUAACUACUGGAAACGGUGGCUAAUACCGCAUACUAUCGGAUAACCCAUAUGGGAUUAGCUAGUAGGUGGGGUAAAGGCUCACCUAGGCGACGAUCUCUAGCUGGCCUGAGAGGGUGAUCAGCCAACCUGCGAGUGGACCACGGCCCAGACGCCUACGGAGGCAGCAGGGGGGAAUAAUGCACGAUGGGCGCAAGCCUGAUGCAGCCAUGCCGCGUGUAUGAAGAAGGCCUUCGUGUUGUAAAGUACUUUCAGUCGGGAGGCGUUGCCGACAGAAGAAGCACCGGCUAGCUCCGUGCCAGCAGCCGCGGUAAUAC